GAGAAACUAAAAUAGCAGAUUAAAAGGAGGGGAAAACCCCCGUGCUUUCUACCGUGGGGUCGGUGGGAAAACGCGCCGUGACUCCCGCUUCGUGACCUUGGCUCUGUUCUUCGCUGCGCGCCGCCGCCAACCUGGGCGCGUUCACGUUAAAAAUUCAGAUUGAGCUGUCUCAUAAGUGGCUCCAAGAAGACUCAACCCCCAACCCUGCAGGAACAUAGCAGUUGUGGAGGUGGAGACAGGACUGAAAUCAGAAUCAGAGUUCAAAUAUACUGGAAAAUCUGGGCUCUAAAUUCUCAUGUAAGUCAGAGAGUGACUGACCAACAGCUGAGAGACAUUGAGGGCUUUAACAUUCACUGUAAACUUUGGUACAGGUCAUUUAUUUCUUUGAAGACUGGAUCCAAAAAGCACAAUGAAUACAAGAAUGGGCUAUGGUAGUAUGGUGAAUUCCAGACAAGCCCGAGAAUUCCAUACAGCUGGAGAAGGAGGCCCAUCUCCUGAGAUUGUCUUGGAAGCAGAAUUGAUAGAACUUGAGGAAAGUGAUGAAGUAGUUGACCUCACCUAUGAAUCUCUAGAACCUGCAGUGAUUGACCUAACUCAACAUGACUGUGUUGUGAUUACUGAAGAAAGGAGGAGGCCAAGGAGAAACACAAGGUCACUCCAAGGCCAAACUGGCAGCAGUGUGGUGAGCAGUCAUCAGGGGUUGAUGAGGGACAGAGAUGUAUAUGUGACCCACAGUGCCUACCAUAAUGCCCUGGAAGAAGAAACUUUAAGUUGCACACUACCUGGUUAUAUCCAGUGUCGAAUUUGUAUGGAUGGGUACUCAGAGAUUGAAUUGAGUAGACGACACAUCUAUUCUACAGAAUGUGGCCACAUCUUCUGUAGUCAGUGCCUCUGCACUUCGCUUAAAUACACUAAAAAUUGCCCAGUUUGUUUGAAAACAAUCAGCUGGCAUCGCAUUUAUGUAUGAUGUGUGCUGAGUUGCUCAGGACCGACAGACCCCCUGGCUGGGUUUUUCCACAUCCUUGUGGAGAAACUAUGGGUUGUUGGCAUCCAGUGUGCCAAGCUCAGAAAGCCUAAUUUUAAAAAUCGCUUUCUGGAAUAUAUUAAAAACUCUUUCAUUUCUCACACACGAUGAGAUUGCUGUUCCAGUCCUUUUGUUUCAUGCUGCAGGGCUGGACUUUGGUUGUCAUAGUGCGCCAGAGACUGGUGGUUGUCCUCGAAGCAAUUUUUCCUUUCUUUCUCAUAGUAAUCAAUUUUUAAUUGGCCACAUGUGGGCAUUUUGGAUCAUGUAAAUAAAUAAGGGCAACAUCCUAGACAUGGUGGAGCAAGCAGAUGGAAGGAACUUGAGAGACUGACUUUGCAAACCAGAGCCACCAUACAAGGUUCUUUGGACUUUUACUUGAGAGAGAAAUAAAUUGCAUUCUUGUUUAA